rnacentral:rRNA from 1 species
CCUACGGGGGGCAGCAGUGGGGGAUAUUGCACAAUGGGGGGAACCCUGAUGCAGCGACGCCGCGUGGGUGAAGGAGUGCUUCGGCAUGUAAAGCCCUAUCGGCAGGGAAGAAGCAAGACGGUACCUGACUAAGAAGCCCCGGCUAACUACGUGCCAGCAGCCGCGGUAAUACGUAGGGGGCGAGCGUUAUCCGGAUUCACUGGGUGUAAAGGGAGCGUAGACGGCCAGGCAAGCCAGGGGUGAAAGCCCGGGGCACAACCCCGGGACUGCCCUUGGAACUGUGCGGCUAGAGUGCGGGAGGGGCAGGCGGAAUUCCUGGUGUAGCGGUGAAAUGCGUAGAUAUCAGGAAGAACACCGGCGGCGAAGGCGGCCUGCUGGACUGCGACUGACGUUGAGGCUCGAAAGCGUGGGGAGCGAACAGGAUUAGAUACCCUAGUAGUC